UACGGAGGGGGCUACCGUUGUUCGGAAUUACUGGGCGUAAAGCGCGCGUAGGCGGAUUAGUCAGUCAGGGGUGAAAUCCCGGGGCUCAACCCCGGAACUGCCUUUGAUACUGCUAGUCUGGAGUUCGAGAGAGGUGAGUGGAAUUCCGAGUGUAGAGGUGAAAUUCGUAGAUAUUCGGAGGAACACCAGUGGCGAAGGCGGCUCACUGGCUCGAUACUGACGAUGAGGUGCGAAAGCGUGGGGAGCAAACAGG
rnacentral:rRNA from 1 species